rnacentral:rRNA from 1 species
GGAUCCAGACUUUGAUCCUGGCUCAGGAUGAACGCUAGCUACAGGCUUAACACAUGCAAGUCGAGGGGAAACGACAUCGAAAGCUUGCUUUUGAUGGGCGUCGACCGGCGCACGGGUGAGUAACGCGUAUCCAACCUGCCCACCACUUGGGGAUAACCUUGCGAAAGUAAGACUAAUACCCAAUGACGUCUCUAGAAGACAUCUGAAAGAGAUUAAAGAUUUAUCGGUGAUGGAUGGGGAUGCGUCUGAUUAGCUUGUUGGCGGGGUAACGGCCCACCAAGGCGACGAUCGGUAGGGGUUCUGAGAGGAAGGUCCCCCACAUUGGAACUGAGACACGGUCCAAACUCCUACGGGAGGCAGCAGUGAGGAAUAUUGGUCAAUGGGCGAGAGCCUGAACCAGCCAAGUAGCGUGCAGGAUGACGGCCCUAUGGGUUGUAAACUGCUUUUAUAAGGGAAUAAAGUGAGUCUCGUGAGGCUUUUUGCAUGUACCUUAUGAAUAAGGACCGGCUAAUUCCGUGCCAGCAGCCGCGGUAAUACGGAAGGUCCGGGCGUUAUCCGGAUUUAUUGGGUUUAAAGGGAGCGUAGGCCGGAGAUUAAGCGUGUUGUGAAAUGUAGACGCUCAACGUCUGCACUGCAGCGCGAACUGGUUUCCUUGAGUACGCACAAAGUGGGCGGAAUUCGUGGUGUAGCGGUGAAAUGCUUAGAUAUCACGAAGAACUCCGAUUGCGAAGGCAGCUCACUGGAGCGCAACUGACGCUGAAGCUCGAAAGUGCGGGUAUCGAACAGGAUUAGAUACCCUGGUAGUCCGCACGGUAAACGAUGGAUGCCCGCUGUUGGUCUGAAUAGGUCAGCGGCCAAGCGAAAGCAUUAAGCAUCCCACCUGGGGAGUACGCCGGCAACGGUGCAACUCAAAUGAAUUGACGG